rnacentral:rRNA from 1 species
CAGCGCCAUGAGUGGCAAUCGGCAUUAUUGGGCCUAAAGCGUCCGUAGCCUGUUUGAUCAGUCUUUUGUGAAAUCGUUGCGCUCAACGUAACGUUGUGCAAGAGAUACUGUCAGACUUGGAAUUGGGAAGAGUUAGAGGUAUUCUGGGGGGAGCGGUAAAAUGCUAUAAUCCCUGGAGGACCACCAGUGGCGAAAGCGUCUAACUAGAACAACUUCGACGGUGAGGGACGAAAGCCAGGGGAGCAAAACGGAUUAGAGACCCGCGUAGUCC